rnacentral:rRNA from 1 species
ACUUUCUGGACAGAAAGACAGGUGGUGCAUGUUGUCGUCAGCUCGUGUCGUGAGAUGUUGGGUUAAGUCCCGCAACGAGCGCAACCCCUACGGUUAGUUGCUAACGGGUAAGGCCGAGCACUCUAGCCGAACUGCCGUUGACAAAACGGAGGAAGGCGGGGAUGACGUCAAAUCAUCAUGCCCUUUAUGUUCUGGGCUACACACGUGCUACAAUGGCCGGUACAGACGGACGCAAAGCCGCGAGGCGGAGCAAAUCCGAAAAAGCCGGUCUCAGUUCGGAUUGCAGGCUGCAAUUCGCCUGCAUGAAGUCGGAAUCGCUAGUAAUCGCAGGUCAGCAUACUGCGGUGAAUACGUUCCCGGGCCUU